rnacentral:rRNA from 1 species
AACGCGAAGAACCUUACCAAGGCUUGACAUCCCAGGAAUCCCCGAGAAACCGGGGAGUGCCUUCGGGAACCUGGUGACAGGUGCUGCAUGGCCGUCGUCAGCUCGUGUCGUGAGAUGUUGGGUUAAGUCCCGCAACGAGCGCAACCCUUGUCGUAUGUUGUAUUUUUCAUACGAGACUGCCCGGGCCAACCGGGAGGAAGGUGAGGAUGACGUCAGGUCAGCAUGGCCCUUACGCCUUGGGCUACACACGUCAUACAAUGGCCGGUACAACGCGUUGCCAACCCGCGAGGGGGAGCUAAUCGCACCAAAACCGGUCCCAGUUCGGAUUGGAGGCUGCAACUCGCCUCCAUGAAGUCGGAAUCGCUAGUAACCGUGGGUCAGCAUACCGCGGUGAAUACGUUCCCGGGCCUUGUA